CCUCUGCGAGCCCUCUAGCUCGGUCUCGGUGCCGGCUUGUAAUGCUGAGCGCCGGAAGUGACGUCAAUUUCCGGCGCUCAGCAUUACAAGCCGGCACCGUGGCAGAGCAGGGAGACUCGCCGCACGACUGUUUAAAGGCUAUUGGGAAGGCUGACAAUUGGGCAGUAAAAUAUUAAAAAGACAGGCAGAGAGACAUCGUGUACACUCUGGCAUUCCACAGGCAAAUGUACAUUUCUUCUUUACUAUCUUGCCGUGGAACAGAGAGAAUCAUCGGCUUCCUAAGAACUUCCCACAGAAGAAGCUGUCGAACAGAUUUGUCUUAUGUC